rnacentral:misc_RNA from 1 species
GAUGAAGAACGUAGCGAAAUGCGAUAAGUAAUGUGAAAUGCAGAAUUCAGUGAAUCAUCGAAUCUUUGAACGCACAUUGCGCCCGCCAGUAUUCUGGCGGGCAUGCCUGUUCGAGCGUCAUUUCAACCAUCAAGCCCCCGGCUUGUGUUGGGGACCUGCGGCUGCCGCAGGCCCUGAAAACCAGUGGCGGGCUCGCUAGUCACUCCGAGCGUAGUAAUACAUCUCGCUCAGGGCGUGCUGCGGGUUCCGGCCGUUAAAAGCCUUAUUUACCCAAGGUUGACCUCGGAUCAGGUAGGAAGACCCGCUGAACUUAAGCAUAUCAAUAAGCGGAGGA